rnacentral:rRNA from 1 species
UAGAUGCGAGAGUAGAGCAUAUCAAUAAGCGGAGGAAAAGAAACUAACAAGGAUUCCCUUAGUAACGGCGAGUGAAGCGGGAAGAGCUCAAAUUUGAAAUCUUCAAGGUUCUACCUUGACGAAUUGUAGUUUAUAGAAGUGUUUUCUGUUAGUGGAGUGGCAAAAGUUCUUUGGAAUAGGACAUCAUAGAGGGUGAGAAUCCCGUAUUUGGUCAUUCCUCCUAGCGUUGUGAUACACUUUCAACGAGUCGGAUUGUUUGGGAAUGCAGUCCAAAAUGGGUGGUAAAUUUCAUCUAAAGCUAAAUAUUGGCGAGAGACCGAUAGCCAACAAGUACCGUGAGGGAAAGAUGAAAAGAACUUUGAAAAGAGAGUUAAACAGUACGUGAAAUUGUCAAAAGGGAAGCGUUUGACACCAGUGUUGUUUUUCCGAAAAUCAAUUACGAAUGUUUUAUUUUUGAGGAGUUAUGACUUCAUCGGCUUGCUCCUUUCUUUAUGAAACUUUCUUAAUGCACUUUUCGGUUAACAAGUCAACAUCAAUUUCUUUUGUUGUAAAAGGGUAUGAGGAAGGUGGCUUUCUUUUCGGAGAAAGUGUUUAUAGCCUUGUGCCUCUGCAAUCGGAGAGAUUGAGGUCUGCAGCGUAGAUCCUUCGGGGUUAGAUACAUUUGUGCUAAGUUAUAGCUUUUCAUAGACAACUUGUUGACUAUGUUUAGUCUUGUAGCUUACUCGCUUAUGCUAUUUUACCUACGCUUAGGAUGUUGACGAGACUGUCGAUCUC